GGCGGCAGGCCUAACACAUGCAAGUCGAGCGGAUGAAGGGAGCUUGCUCCUGAAUUCAGCGGCGGACGGGUGAGUAAUGCCUAGGAAUCUGCCUGGUAGUGGGGGACAACGUUUCGAAAGGAACGCUAAUACCGCAUACGUCCUACGGGAGAAAGCAGGGGACCUUCGGGCCUUGCGCUAUCAGAUGAGCCUAGGUCGGAUUAGCUAGUUGGUGAGGUAAUGGCUCACCAAGGCGACGAUCCGUAACUGGUCUGAGAGGAUGAUCAGUCACACUGGAACUGAGACACGGUCCAGACUCCUACGGGAGGCAGCAGUGGGGAAUAUUGGACAAUGGGCGAAAGCCUGAUCCAGCCAUGCCGCGUGUGUGAAGAAGGUCUUCGGAUUGUAAAGCACUUUAAGUUGGGAGGAAGGGUUGUAGAUUAAUACUCUGCAAUUUUGACGUUACCGACAGAAUAAGCACCGGCUAACUCUGUGCCAGCAGCCGCGGUAAUACAGAGGGUGCAAGCGUUAAUCGGAAUUACUGGGCGUAAAGCGCGCGUAGGUGGUUCGUUAAGUUGGAUGUGAAAUCCCCGGGCUCAACCUGGGAACUGC
rnacentral:rRNA from 1 species